UACGUAGGGUGCAAGCGUUGUCCGGACUUAUUGGGCGUAAAGAGCUCGUAGGCGGUCUGUCGCGUCUGCUGUGAAAACUCAGGGCUUAACCCUGAGCUUGCAGUGGGUACGGGCAGACUAGAGUGCGGUAGGGGAGACUGGAAUUCCUGGUGUAGCGGUGAAAUGCGCAGAUAUCAGGAGGAACACCGGUGGCGAAGGCGGGUCUCUGGGCCGUAACUGACGCUGAGGAGCGAAAGCAUGGGGAGCGAACAGG
rnacentral:rRNA from 1 species